rnacentral:rRNA from 1 species
CCUACGGGUGGCUGCAGUGGGGAAUAUUGGACAAUGGGCGCAAGCCUGAUCCAGCAAUGCCGCGUGUGUGAAGAAGGCCUGCGGGUUGUAAAGCACUUUACGCCGGAAAGAAGGCUGCAAGGCUAAUAUCCUUGUAGAUUGACGUUACCGGCAGAAUAAGCACCGGCUAACUCCGUGCCAGCAGCCGCGGUAAUACGGAGGGUGCGAGCGGGGAUCGGAAUUACUGGGCGUAGUUCGCUCGUUGGCCGGUGAAAGCCCUGGGCUUAACCUGGGAACUGCAGUGGAAACUGGCGGGCUAGAGUAUGGUAGAGGAGGGUGGAAUUUCCGGUGUAGCAGUGAAAUGCGUAGAGAUCGGAAGGAACACCAGUGGCGAAGGCGGCUCUCUGGACCAAUACUGACGCUGAGGUGCGAAAGCGUGGGGAGCAAACAGGAUUAGAUACCCCGGUAGUC